GUGGGUGUGGCGAAGUGGUUAACGCACCGGAUUGUGGCUCCGGGACUCGUGGGUUCGAUUCCCAUCACUCACCCCA
rnacentral:tRNA from 1 species